UACGUAGGGGGCAAGCGUUGUCCGGAUUUAUUGGGCGUAAAGAGCUCGUAGGUGGUUCGGUAAGUCGGAUGUGAAAUCUCCAGGCUCAACCUGGAGGGUCAUUCGAUACUGCCGUGACUAGAGGUCGGUAGGGGAGUGUGGAAUUCCUGGUGGAGCGGUGGAAAUGCGCAGAUAUCAGGAGGAACACCCGUAGCGAAGGCGGCACUCUGGGCCGAUACUGACACUGAGGAGCGAAAGCGUGGGGAGCGAACAGG
rnacentral:rRNA from 1 species